rnacentral:lncRNA from 1 species
AUGUCCCUGGCAGCAGGCAUGAACGAAAGAAAAUGGCUGUGCACAGAGGGAGAAUUGAUCACUGUCUGUUCUUCAAAGACACUUCUCUGGCAGUGGUUGGGGCUGUUAGCGCUCACUGCCCUAACAGAGACCUGCUUCAACAGGGUACGAAGAUCCAUCAUUUGGCCCAGCUGUAUUAUGGGAUCAUCUGACUUCACGGUGUCAUUGAAAGGCUUACGUGUGCUAGUGGAUGAAAAUAUUUCAACGCUUCUCUCUGCCGUCUUUUUGCUGCCAUACACUGUGCUGGGUGAUGGGGAUAUGGAGAUGAAUUAA